UUCCAGUUGGACAUCUUCAACCCUGGAAGAGUUCUGCUGUGAAGGUACCGCUGCGAUGCACACGAGUGUUCACAGAGACAGCCCAGCUCUUCCUGCGAAUGGAGCGCGGCCAGUGCUUCUGGGCGGACUAAUGAUUGUGUUAUCUGUUGAAGACCAGCUCUUGCAACAGGACAGGUUUGGGCCAGGCAGCUGCCUUUGACCAGCAGUUUUGGAUGCAGAGAGGCCAAAUUAAACCCCCCAGGUUGGAGGCAGAUACUCAGGAGAAGGGACAGGACCAGAGGAUGGGCUGCUCGUUCCUUCUUCUUCCCAGGGCCAAGGGGGAGAUGUUUGUUCUGUACUGGUUGGGAAGUCCUGGGGCUGGCAGAAGAGCUGCUCUCCCUUGGGAAGGGACAUCAAGGAGACAUGAUGGCCAAGUGUGUGUGUGUCUACUGCUCCAUCAACAGGGCCAAAUGAUUCAGUCCACGUUUGGGAGAUUUUCAUUACUGGAAAGGGACCUUUCCUCCUGAACUGAGAUUGUGAGUCUAACUCGAAGCAAGAAAAGAGAAGCAAAGCCCACACCUCUGUAUGAACCCCCUCAGGGGUGAUGGUGUUUCCUCAUCCGACUGCUUUUCCAGAGUUCACAGACUCCACACACGCCUGUUGUUCCUGCAGCAACGCUCAAUCCUCAUCCCCCCCAGCACAUCAGUAUUCAAAUUUGUCACCUUACGAAGAGCUGGUUCUGCUGAGACCCUCUGGACCCCGGCCAGCGGUGGGACGUGGAGGGACUCGAGCUGGGACCUCUGAGCACCACCAUCUCCUUGCCCUUGACCCGGCUUGUUUCCACGCCAGACACAACUCGCUCAGCCCUACGUUUCCUCCAGGGAUGCACAAAGAGUGCAAGGGGUUUGAAAGUGCUGUUGUGUGGGUGAGAGAUCCAGUACUCGUGAAAGGUGACGUACACACCUGUGCCAGAGCUACCUUUGGGAAUCCCUGGCAGCGAGCUGUGUGGCCCCCGUUUGAGCUGAGAAUUUGCCUGCAGCCCUCGGCGUUUCCACUGGCCUGAUCCCCGCGGGGCCGGAGCCAGCAGCUUUGUCUCCGGCCAGAACCCGCCGUCCCCCGGUGCAGUGAUGUGGUGACUGCCCAGGUACAUGGCCAAAGAGAAGAAGACAUGAGCCCCACGGCUACUGUGGGUCUGGCAGACGCAGGAUCAGGCCACACUGGUUCCUGGAGGCUGGAGCUGGGGUGCUCAGGACACG